rnacentral:rRNA from 1 species
GCUUGAAAGUUUAUAGAUUAUUAUAAAAUUGUUUUUAUAAAAAUUUAUUUUUAAGAAUAUAGAUUUAAUUAUUUUUAAAGAAAAAAGUUUAUUGUAUUGAAAAUACAUAUAAUUAUAGAGGAUUAGUAUUGUAAGAGAAAUUUUUUUUUUAGUUUAGAAAAAGAAUAUUUUAUUUGUAGUACCUUGUGUGUCAGGGUUUAUUAAUUAGGGUUUAUUUAUUUAAAUUUCUCGAAUUUAAAGGAGCUAUAUAUUUAUGUAUUUCAGUAUAGAAAAAUUGUUUUUAAUAAAUAUAUAGAAAUGAAAUGUUACUCGAUUUUAAAUAUAUCUAGUUUUUUAAGAAAAAAAUUUAAUUUUAUUUUUAUCUAUCAUAUAUUGAUAUUUUUUUAUCUAAAUGAUAAUAAAAUUUUAUAUAGUAAGGGAAGAGCUUUAUUAUAAAAAUAUAAAAUUUAUUAAUAAAAAUUUUUAAAGUAGGAUUGAAAGUUUCUGUCUUUAAUGUGUGUUAUUACAAUUUAAAUUGAGUAAAAGAUUUUUAUUGAAUUUAUGUAUUCUAUUAAAAUUUAAUUUAAAAUAUAAAAAAUUUAGUAAUAAUGAUAGAAUUAGUAUAAUAAAAAGUUUAUUUAUAUUUAGUAGAAAGGUUUAAAAAAGGAAUUCGGCAAAAUAAUUUUUCACCUGUUUAAUAAAAACAUGGCUUGUUGUUUAUGAUUUCAAGUCUAACCUGCCCAAUGAAGAAUUUAAUGGCCGCGGUAUAUUGACCGUGCGAAGGUAGCAUAAUCAUUAGUUUUUUAAUUGUAAGCUUGUAUGAAAGGUUUGAUGAGAAAAAGACUGUCUCUUUUAAAAUUUAUUAAAAUUUUAUUUUUAAGUUAAAAAGCUUAAAUAUUCAUUGAAGACGAGAAGACCCUAUAGAGUUUAAUAUUUUCAGAAAAAGGGAAAUUUAGGAAAGGAAUAUUUUUUUUAUUUAGUAAAGUAUUUUGUUGGGGUGACAAAAAAAUUAGUCAAACUUAUUUUUAAAAUAAAUCAUUGAUUUAUGAGUGAAUGAGCCUAUUGUUUAGAUUAAAAGAAUAAACUACCUUAGGGAUAACAGCGUAAUUUUUUUUAGAGUUCUAAUCAAAAAAAAAGUUUGCGACCUCGAUGUUGGAUUAAAAUUUACUAUUGGUGAAGUAGCUGAUUGGUUAGGUCUGUUCGACCUUUAAAAUUUUACAUGAUCUGAGUUUAGACCGGUGUGAGCCAGGUUGGUUUCUAUCUCUAUGAAGAUAAAGUUUUUUAGUACGAAAGGACCACUAAUUUGAUUAAUAAUUUAUUUAAAGAAUAAUAUAAAAGGAGGUUAUUUUGGCAGAUUAGUGCUAUAGAUUUAGAAUCUAUAAAAG